UACGAAGGGGGCUAGCGUUGCUCGGAAUCACUGGGCGUAAAGCGCGCGCAGGCGGUCCUUUAAGUCUGAUGUGAAAGCCCACGGCUCAACCGUGGAGGGUCAUUGGAAACUGGGGGACUUGAGUACAGAAGAGAAGAGUGGAAUUCCACGUGUAGCGGUGAAAUGCGUAGAGAUGUGGAGGAACACCAGUGGCGAAGGCGACUCUUUGGUCUGUAACUGACGCUGAGGCGCGAAAGCGUGGGGAGCAAACAGG
rnacentral:rRNA from 1 species